UCUUGAGAGUGCUCUCUAAAUCUUUAUUUACAAAUUUAUUUAAAACAAUAUUACAUUAGUAAAAGAAUCGAAUUUAUUCAAGGUCUAAGUACUGAAAAGGAAAGUCUACUAAUUACAAAGAAGUUAUUGUUCGUACCUUUUGUAUCAGGGUUUAUUAAAUUUCAAUCUUCAUUGCUGAAUCCCGAAAUAAGGUGAUCUAUAUUGGUUAAAGAUGAUUGUUUCAUAAAUCUCUUCAAGACUAAUAUCGUUGUGAAAAAUAUUUCGUACUUUUAUAUCUGGUUGGCAGAAUACUCCUUUAGGGUACUCCGCAAGGAAGAUUUUCUAGGGGACGAGCUCUAGAAAAAAUUAUAUUAUAAUAUUAAGAAAAACAUGAUUAGGCUUAAAAGUUGCCUCGGUUUAAUAACCAUUGUUACUAAAAUGAUAAUUUCAAAAUAAUUAAUUAAGACUAGCCGAUGCUAAUUACAUAAAUUUAGCAAUCACAAUGAUAGAAUUAGUAGAACUAUAAAUACAUUUAACACAAUGUCCCUCACAAAAUCCCAAAGGAAUUCGGCAAAACUCAUCUCCGCCUGUUUAACAAAGACAUCGCCUCCUAACUUUGGGAGGUCGAGCCUGCCCACUGAUGAAUUAAAGGGCCGUGGUAUACUGACCAUGCGAAGGUAGCAUAAUCAUUAGCCUUUUGAUUUGAGGCUGGAAUGAAUGGUUUGACGAGAGAUGGUCUGUCUCUUCGAUUAAAUUGAAGUUAAUCUUUAAGUGAAAAAGCUUAAAUGUACUUGGAGGGCGAUAAGACCCUAUAGAUCUUUACAUUUAAUUCUUUUGUCUUGCGGUAGGUAAUUAGACAGAGCAAAGCAAUGUUCGGUUGGGGCGACGGUAAGAACAGGAUAAACACUUACAACAUAAACACAUCAAUAAAUGACCAUUGAUCCUUAGAUGAAUAAAGACCAAGUUACCUUAGGGAUAACAGCGUAAUUCUUUUUGAGAGUCCAAAUCGACAAAAGAGUUUGCGACCUCGAUGUUGGUUCAGGGACCCUACUCGGUGCAGCAGCCUAGAGAGGCAGUCUGUUCGACUGUUAAACCCCUACGUGAUCUGAGUUCAGACCGGCGUAAGCCAGGUUAGUUUCUACCCCCAAGGCAAAUUCACUCAUGAUAGUACGAAAGGACCUCUUGAGAUUUUAUGUCAGCUUGGCAGACAAAU
rnacentral:rRNA from 1 species